rnacentral:ribozyme from 1 species
UGCCGCCGCCGACGGUCACCAAGAUGUAUCCCACGCCCCUCCUUUGGCCAAAAGGCAUCCGUCCCUUGGCAGGCUGGCGCUGCGGGACGGGGGCGCG